GGAUAGGUGGCGAAAUUGGUAAACGCAUCACAUUCAAAAUGUGACAAUUUUAUUAAUUUUAUGGGUUCGAGUCCCAUCCUAUCUA
rnacentral:tRNA from 1 species